UGGAGCAUGUGGUUUAAUUCGAUGCAACGCGAAGAACCUUACCGGGUCUUGACAUCCCCUGAAAGCUACGAAAGUAGAAUGCCCAUUUGGGACAGGGAGACAGGUGGUGCAUGGUUGUCGUCAGCUCGUGUCGUGAGAUGUUGGGUUAAGUCCCGCAACGAGCGCUAACCCUUACCCUUAGUUGUUUUCCCGAAAGGAUUACCCUCUAAGGGGACUGCCCCGGACAACGGGGGAGGAAGGUGGGGGAUGACGUCAAGUCCGCAUGCUCCUUACGUCUAGGGCUACACACGUCCUACAAUGGGGUCGACAGUGGGAUGCAAAGCCGCGAGGUGGAGCCAAUCCCCAAACGGCCUCUCAGUUCGGAUAGUAGUCUGCAACUCGACUACUUGAAGUCGGAAUCGCUAGUAAUGGCGGAUCAGCAUGCCGCCGUGAAUACGGUUCCCGGGUCUU
rnacentral:rRNA from 1 species